rnacentral:rRNA from 1 species
UACGUAGGGCGCAAGCGUUGUCCGGAAUUAUUGGGCGUAAAGAGCUCGUAGGCGGCCAGUUGCGUCCGCUGUGAAAUCCCGGGGCUUAACCCCGGGCGUGCAGUGGAUACGGGCUGGCUGGAGGCAGGCAGGGGAGAACGGAAUUCCUGGUGUAGCGGUGAAAUGCGCAGAUAUCAGGAGGAACACCGUGGCGAAGGCGGUUCUCUGGGCCUGUACUGACGCUGAGGAGCGAAAGCGUGGGGAGCGAACAGG